AACCUCCGCAAUGCGAGAAAUCGCGACGGGGGGAUCCCAAGUGCCAUUCUUAACGGGAUGGCUUUUCAUUAGUGUAAAGAGCUUUUGGAAUAAGAGCUGGGCAAGACCGGUGCCAGCCGCCGCGGUAACACCGGCAGCUCUAGUGGUAACAAUUUUUAUUGGGCCUAAAGCGUCCGUAGCCGGUUUAAUAAGUCUCUGGUGAAAUCCUGCAGCUUAACUGUGGGAAUUGCUGGAGAUACUAUUAGACUUGAGACCGGGAGAGGUUAGAGGUACUCCCAGGGUAGAGGUGAAAUUCUGUAAUCCUGGGAGGACCGCCUGUUGCGAAGGCGUCUAACUGGAACGGUUCUGACGGUGAGGGACGAAAGUUAGGGGCGCGAACCGGAUUAGAUACCCGGGUAGUCCUAACUGUAAACGAUGCGGACUUGGUGUUGGGGUGGCUUUGAGCUGCUUCAGUGCCGAAGGGAAGCUGUUAAGUCCGCCGCCUGGGAAGUACGGUCGCAAGACUGAAACUUAAAGGAAUU
rnacentral:rRNA from 1 species